AAAUGACUUCCAAUCAUUAAGUUUUAGUUGCAACCCUAAAGAAGAGUA
rnacentral:tRNA from 1 species